AUGUUAGAGUUAUUAUGUUUGUUAUCAUUCUUAUAUUUAUAUAUUUAGAGGUUUAGUGUUCAAACUUGUUGAAACUUGGGAGACAAAAUUAAAUCUUCCUUAAUCAAGCAUGUUUGUACAGAUGGUGACUUAGAUCUUCCUGGGAAAGUCCUGAGCUGUAAAACCUAGUAUGUGUUAAUUUAGUUUCUGUGUCUCCCCUCUGUCUGUCUGAAUUCACAUCCUACUGUGAAUAUAGGAUGUGGGUUUCACCCCCUCCAUUCCUGUUCACACCUUUCUCUCUUCUGCUAAUAAAAGAGACAAACAAAC